rnacentral:lncRNA from 1 species
CUUGCGACGUGGGGUCGAGGUGGUGCCCAUUGAGACAGUGUUGUCUGCGGUAAGGGCGGUCGUGGUCUGCGGGGAACUAAUUGGGCCGUGGGGGCUGCUUGGCCAAAUCCGCAGUUAAUUUGGAAAAAUAGCAUACUAGGCAGGACAUCAACCAGCUGCCAGGUUAAAAGUCGGUUGUGGUUUGUACCUCCCUGCAUCCAAACUGAACUUGGUGGUAGGUGUUUUUCACGACUGACAAGUGAUUAUUGCUACUUGGUGGUCCGAUAUUCGCCUGCACGCCGUCCUGUGGUGUUGGGGCAUCCACCACAGCGAGUGAAAAAGAAGGGGCAUUUAACUCCCAGAAGAAUGAAGGCUGGUCUUCAAGCAGUGUUAAAUGUGCUGACUGGCAUCAUCCUAAUGGCAGUCGCUGAGGCAAGAAGUUCAAAAACGCCAUCUCCGAAGCUGAUAUCAGAUGAUUUGGCUGAUUUUCUCUCCAAAGAAGUAUGCAAGACUCCAAAGAGUAACUGGGAAUUAAUGCUGAAAUCAGUAGGGGUCACCAUGUCCCCAGAAGGACCACAGAUAAGCCCAAAGUGCAGCAGGCCUUACCCAAAGGAUGAGUCAGCCACAGUUCCUGACCCUCUUGGCUCAUUUUGUGCACUCAGUCUUAGCACCUUAAGGAUUAUAUGCCAUACCUCUCAGACAGUGGAUUUUCCACAAACAAUAAACAUGAAUGACUCUGUGCCUGUGGAGAAAGUGUGUGCACUUCUGUCAAGGUGGUUGAAGUCAAGACAAAUCAUUUGGAAGCUUGACUAGGAUGGAGUAUGGGGAGAAGUGUGCACAGACAUGUUUGCCAAUGUCUGCUCCACACCCAGAUGGUGAUGUGCAGGCAAAUGAAGAGUGCCAGUCAUUAUAUUAUGGAAGAAUGGUACUGGAAGCCAUGCUUGCCAAAGCACCACAUACCACUGGUGGGGACAGUCCUCCCAGCAGACUGCAGGGAGCACCAGCCAGGAUAGCCUUGCACCCAGCAGCAGCCGGUGAUCUGGCCAUCUCUGCAGAAAGCAAGGCCGGUGGUGCCGACCCACAGCCUGCACCCGGGAUAGCUCCAGCUGAAGGAAUCAAGCCAGAGCUGGCUGCUGAGGCUCCCAAGGACCACAACGCUGUCCUUCAGGCCCUCCCAUCUGCCCGCCCGUCGUCAGCCGCGCCCCCGCUUCCAGAGGCCACCGCCCCCGCGGGCGCCUCUCUCGCCGGUGGCACCGCGCCUCGGCCGGUGGCCGGAGCUCUCCACGGGAGCGCAGCCGCCCCCGCGGGCGCCUCUCUCACCGGUGGC